CUUUACUGUAGCCUGGUAUUGGGUUCGGGCCUUGCUUGCGCAGAAUAGGUGGGAGACUGAGAAGUGUGCCUUGUGGGGCACAUAGAGUCAACGGUGAGAUACCACUCUGUCAGAGCUAGAAUUCUAACCUUCACCCGUGAUCCGGGGAAGGAACCGUAUCAGGUGGGCAGUUUGACUGGGGCGGUCGCCUCCUAAAAGGUAACGGAGGCGCGCAAAGGUGUUCUCAGGCUGGUUGGAAAUCAGCCGUAGAGUGUAAAGGCAGAAGAACGCUUGACUGUGAGAGUGACAACUCAAGCAGGGUGGAAACACGGCCUUAGUGAUCCGACGGUAUGCGCGUGGAAGUGCCGUCGCUCAACGGAUAAAAGUUA
rnacentral:rRNA from 1 species